UGACUUGUAUCUUUAAUCUUCGGA
rnacentral:siRNA from 1 species